UGUUUAGUUGCACAAUCCCUAUUGUAGCUAAGCUUCUUUAUUUUCUUGAAGAAUUAUACUUUUAGUCAUGAUUGUACAUUAUUUUUUUAGACAGUUUUUAGAUUUGUUGCCUCUUUUACUACAAUAUAAGCAUAGAUAUUGUUCAAAUUGAUUCUUCUUUUCUUAUAUUGUGAGAGAUUUGAAUUGUAUCAUAUCAAUUUAUAUAUUCUUAGCUCUUAAAUGUAGAAAUAAUCUAUUUGUUGAAGCAAAAGAAUAUGAAUUUUUAGUACCUUGCUCUAUUAAAAUCUACGAAUAUUAAUUUAGAUGACAUUGAAAUAAUCCAUUAU
rnacentral:lncRNA from 1 species